rnacentral:rRNA from 1 species
GAUGAACGCUGGCGGCGUGCCUAAUACAUGCAAGUCGAACGAAACUUCUUUAUCACCGAGUGCUUGCACUCACCGAUAAAGAGUUGAGUGGCGAACGGGUGAGUAACACGUGGGCAACCUGCCCAAAAGAGGGGGAUAACACUUGGAAACAGGUGCUAAUACCGCAUAACCAUAGUUACCGCAUGGUAACUAUGUAAAAGGUGGCUAUACUACCGCUUUUGGAUGGGCCCGCGGCGCAUUAGCUAGUUGGUAGGGUAAAGGCUUACCAAGGCAAUGAUGCGUAGCCGAAUUGAGAGGUUGAUCGGCCACAUUGGGACUGAGACACGGCCCAAACUCCUACGGGAGGCAGCAGUAGGGAAUCUUCCACAAUGGGCGAAAGCCUGAUGGAGUAACGCCGCGUGGGUGAAGAAGGUCUUCGGAUCGUAAAACCCUGUUGUUAGAGAAGAAAGUGCGUGAGAGUAACUGUUCACGUUUCGACGGUAUCUAACCGGAAAGCCACGGCUAACUACGUG